rnacentral:lncRNA from 1 species
CUCGCUGUCGACGUCCUCCUCGCACUCAGUGUGCUCCUCGCCGCCGGAAAGGCGCGCGGGACGCACGUGAGAGCUUUUUCGGCUCAUCCUUGGGGAGGUACAUACUUUUGUGAAUCCGGCAGGACUAUCGCUGCGCAGCCUUGGAGGUCGAGGUCGAGCUGCGCUGCUGCGCCGCCGCGACAAGGGCCCGCCGCUGCUGCUCGCUACGGCAACAGCGGCGGCGGCGGCGGCGGCGCCGCCAGUGAAAGCGCUAGGCUUUGACCCGACGGAGGGCUGUGUUCGCAGACCACCGGCCUGCGUGGACAGCUGCGCUCGCAACGCCCCCGGCUGGGUUGAUAACCUGGUCCGAAGCAGGCCAGCUUGUGUGGAUAGCUGGGUUCGAAGGACGCUUGAACGGUUGCUCCUCUCGGACUUUUGAGUCGCGAGCUCGUUG